rnacentral:tRNA from 1 species
UGUGAAAUGGCAGAAAAAUGCCUAAACUUUAAGCGUUUAUCAUGACCAACCAGGUCUUUCACAA